rnacentral:rRNA from 1 species
CAUGAGCAUCUAUNAACCCCGCCUCGAAUUGCGCUAUUUCCUGNGACUUNCCGAAUUCAGUGAAUCAUCGCAUCUUUGACCGCACAUUGCA